rnacentral:rRNA from 1 species
GACGAACGCUGGCGGCGUGCUUAACACAUGCAAGUCGAACGGAAAGGCCCUGCUUUUGUGGGGUGCUCGAGUGGCGAACGGGUGAGUAACACGUGAGUAACCUGCCCUUGACUUUGGGAUAACUUCAGGAAACUGGGGCUAAUACCGGAUAGGAGCUCCUGCUGCUUGGUGGGGGUUGGAAAGUUUCGGCGGUUGGGGAUGGACUCGCGGCUUAUCAGCUUGUUGGUGGGGUAGUGGCUUACCAAGGCUUUGACGGGUAGCCGGCCUGAGAGGGUGACCGGCCACAUUGGGACUGAGAUACGGCCCAGACUCCUACGGGAGGCAGCAGUGGGGAAUAUUGCACAAUGGGCGGAAGCCUGAUGCAGCAACGCCGCGUGCGGGAUGACGGCCUUCGGGUUGCAAACCGCUUUCGCCUGUGACGAAGCGUGAGUGACGGUAAUGGGUAAAGAAGCACCGGCUAACUACGUG